AUUGAACGCUGGCGGCAGGCCUAACACAUGCAAGUCGAGCGGAGCGGCUGACGGGUGAGUAAUGCCUAGGAAUCUGCCUGGCAGCGGGGGAGAUCGUCAGGAAUCGGGAGCUAAUCCCGCACCCUAUCAGCUUAGCCUAGGUCGGGUUAGCUAGUGGGUGGGGUAAAGGCCUCCCAAGACGACGAUCCGUAACUGGUCUGAGAGGUUGAUCAGUCACACUGGAACUGAGACACGGUCCAAACUCCUACGGGAGGCAGCGGUGGGGAAUAUUGGACAAUGGGCGAAAGCCUAGUGCAGGCAUGCCGCGUGUGUGAAGAAGGUCUUCGGAUGGGAAAGCACUUUAAGUGGGAAGGCGUUACCAACAGAGAAAGCAACGGCUAACUUCGUGCCAGCAGCCGCGGUAAUAC
rnacentral:rRNA from 1 species